rnacentral:rRNA from 1 species
UCAUAUCAAUUAAGCGGAGGAAAAGAAACCAACAGGGAUUGCCCUAGUAACGGCGAGUGAAGCGGCAACAGCUCAAAUUUGAAAUCUGGCCGCAAGGUCCGAGUUGUAAUUUGUAGAGGAUGCUUUUGGCGAGGUGACUUCCGAGUUCCCUGGAACGGGACGCCAUAGAGGGUGAGAGCCCCGUACGGUAGUGACACCGAGCCUCUGUAAAGCUCCUUCGACGAGUCGAGUAGUUUGGGAAUGCUGCUCUAAAUGGGAGGUGUAAGUCUUCUAAAGCUAAAUACCGGCCAGAGACCGAUAGCGCACAAGUAGAGUGAUCGAAAGAUGAAAAGCACUUUGAAAAGAGAGUUAAAAAGUACGUGAAAUUGUUGAAAGGGAAGCAUUUAUGACCAGACUUGGGCUUGGUUGAACAUCCGGCGUUCUCGCCGGUGCACUCUGCCAGCCUAGGCCAGCAUCAGUUCACGCCGGGGGACAAAGGUAGCGGGAAUGUGACUCCCUCCGGGGAGUGUUAUAGCCCGUUGCGCAAUGCCCUGGGGUGGACUGAGGAACGCGCUUCGGCACGGAUGCUGGCGUAAUGGUCAUCAAUGAC